rnacentral:rRNA from 1 species
UACGGAGGGUGCGAGCGUUGUCCGGAAUCACUGGGCGUAAAGGGCGCGUAGGCGGCGCGGAUAGUCGGCGGUGAAAGCCCGGAGCUCAACUCCGGGUCGGCCGUCGAUACUUCCGGGCUUGAGCACUGUAGAGGCAGAUGGAAUUCCGGGUGUAGCGGUGGAAUGCGUAGAGAUCCGGAAGAACACCGGUGGCGAAGGCGGUCUGCUGGGCAGUUGCUGACGCUGAGGUGCGAAAGCGUGGGGAGCAAACAGG